rnacentral:tRNA from 1 species
GCGGGGAUGGCGAAAUGGCAUACGCGGCAGCCUUAGGAGCUGUUGCCCUCACGGGCGUGGGGGUUCAAGUCCCCCUCCCCGCACCA